rnacentral:tRNA from 1 species
CAGGGAGACAACAACUGAUCGUGAUGUCUAAGUUAUUUAAUUCUUAGGCCAUGAUCCUGUCACCUUAGGUCGAUCGGUACCUCAAAUUUAGAUUAAACAAUGCCAUUGAUUUCUCAAUAGUUUUAAUGACAUCUAAAUUUCAGUUCCUAAACUUGUCUAGGUCACACCCAACGAGGGUAAUCCUGGGCCAUUAGCUCAGGUGGUUAGAGCGCACCCCUGAUAAGGGUGAGGUCCCUGGUUCAAGUCCAGGAUGGCCCAUUCGGUGUUGGGGGUAUAGCUCAGUUGGUAGAGCGCCUGCUUUGCAAGCAGGAUGUCAGCGGUUCGAGUCCGCUUACCUCCACUGACUCACCCACCUAAUAACGAACCCCCCAGUGGAUUCUCUUGGACUAGUUGUGAUUUAGACGUUGUUUUAUUUGAACGAACCUAGCUUCCUAUCAUUCCUCUUUAUUAAAUGUUUAAUUGGUAAUGGUUGGUAGGAUGCUGGGCUCACUGUAAUUAACUUAAUUGCAGAUGUGUUCAGUAGAACCUUGACAACUGCAUAGGUAAGUCUGGAAAAGAAUAAAGCAUCUCAUGGAUGCAUUAUUUCUUUUAUUCAAAAAUAGUUUUCUUGUUAAAACAAGAUCAUUAAUUGGAUUUAAGACAUUAAUGUUUAAUUCUUGAGCGAGAGCCGAGACUCUGUAGUUUUUUAUUAGUGCUUUAAAAGAACUAGUAAUCUAGAAGGUUGAAAACACCUCAAGCUAUAGAGAUUUAU